CACCGCGGUUAUACGAGAGGCCCCAGUUGAUGGACACGGCGUAAAGGGUGGUUAAGGUAAGCCAAAAAUAAAGCCAAAGGGCCUCUUGGCUGUCAUACGCCCCUGAGCGUCCGAAGCCCAAACACGAAAGUAGCUUUAACACCAACCCACCUGACCCCACGAAAGCUAAGAAA
rnacentral:rRNA from 1 species